UGGGGAAUUUUCCGCAAUGGGCGAAAGCCUGACGGAGCAAUGCCGCGUGGAGGUGGAAGGCCUACGGGUCGUCAACUUCUUUUCUCGGAGAAGAAACAAUGACGGUAUCUGAGGAAUAAGCAUCGGCUAACUCUGUGCCNG
rnacentral:rRNA from 1 species